GUGUCAGCAGCCGCGGUAAUACGGGGGGGGCGAGCGUUGUUCGGAAUUACUGGGCGUAAAGGGUUUGUAGGUGGCCUGCUAAGUCAGACGUGAAAUCCCUCAGCUUAACUGGGGAACUGCGUCUGAUACUGGUGGGCUUGAGGACAGGAGAGGAACGCGGAAUUCCAGGUGUAGCGGUGAAAUGCGUAGAUAUCUGGAGGAACACCGGUGGCGAAGGCGGCGUUCUGGACUGUUUCUGACACUGAAAAACGAAAGCCAGGGGAGCAAACGGGAUUAGAUACCCCCGUAGUCC
rnacentral:rRNA from 1 species